rnacentral:rRNA from 1 species
UGGGGAAUUUUGCGCAAUGGGCGAAGGCCUGACGCAGUAACGCCGCGUGGAGGAUGAAGGCCCUCGGGUUGUAAACUCCUGUCAGAGGGAACGACAGUGGUAGAGUGAAUAGCUCUAUUUACUAGACGGUACCCUCAAAGGAAGCCCCGGCUAAUUCCGUGCCAGCAGCCGCGGUAAUACGGAAGGGGCAAGCGUUGUUCGGAAUCAUUGGGCGUAAAGGGCGCGCAGGUGGUCCUAUGUGUCUACUGUAAAAGCACACGGCUCAACCGUGUCGGGUCGGUGGAAACUGUAGGACUUGAGGCUGGGAGGGGCUGGUGGAAUUCCCUGUGUAGCGGUGAAAUGCGUAGAGAUGGGGGAGAACACUCGUGGCGAAGGCGGCCAGCUGGACCAGUCCUGACACUGAGGCGCGACAGCGUGGGGAGCGAAACAGGAUUAGAUACCCUGGUAGUCCUAGCCCUAAACUAUGGAUACUUGCUGUGGGGGGAUUGAAGCCCCUUGUGGCGAAGC